rnacentral:rRNA from 1 species
UAGGCAUGCAGUCGUGCGAUUUUCGCAAGAAAUAGCGGCAAACGGGUGAGUAACACGUAAGCAAUCUUCCUUAAAGACGGACAUAGCAUCGUGAAAACGGCGGUAAUUUCCGAUAUGUCCUAUUGAUCGCAUGAUCGAUAGGGUAAAGGUGGGGACCGAAAGGCCUAUCGCUUUAGGAUGAGCUUGCGUCCUAUCAGCUAGUUGGUAGGGUAAUGGCCUACCAAGGCAUUUGACGGGUAGCCGGCCUGAGAGGGUGUCCGGCCACACUGGGACUGAGACACUGCCCAGACUCCUACGGGAGGCUGCAGUCGAGAAUCUUUAGCAAUGGACGAAAGUCCGACUAUGCGACGCCGCGUGCAGGAUGAAGGUUUUCGGAUUGUAAACUGCUUUUGUUAGGAAAGAAACCUUUGAAGAUAAUAUCUUCAAAGCUGACGGUACCUGACGAAUAAGCCACGGCCAACUCCGUGCCAGCAGCCGCGGUAAUACGGAGGUGGCGAGCGUUACUCGGGAUUAUUGGGUGUAAAGGGCAAGUAGGCGGUUUGUUAAGUGAGGGGUGAAAUCUAUCGGUUCAAUCGGUAAAUUGCCUUUCAAACUGAUAAGCUUGAGGAUGUAAGAGGGAAAUGGAAUUAGCAGUGUAAGGGUGAAAUCUGUAGAUAUUGCUAAGAACACCAGCGGCGAAAGCGAUUUCCUGGUACAAUCCUGACGCUAAAUUGCGAAAGCUAGGGGAGCGAACGGAAUUAGAUACUCCCGGUAGUCCUAGCUGUAA